rnacentral:rRNA from 1 species
AUAUUCCUGUACUUGGUGUUACUGCGAAGGGGGGACGGAGAAGGCUAUGUUAGCCGGGCGACGGUUGUCCCGGUUUAAGCAUGUAGGCUGGUUGUCCAGGCAAAUCCGGAUAAUCAAGGCUGAGGUGUGAUGACGAGGUACUACGGUGCUGAAGUAACAAAUGCCCUGCUUCCAGGAAAAGCCUCUAAGCAUCAGGUAACAUUAAAUCGUACCCCAAACCGACACAGGUGGUCAGGUAGAGAAUACCAAGGCGCUUGAGAGAACUCGGGUGAAGGAACUAGGCAAAAUGGUGCCGU